rnacentral:rRNA from 1 species
UACGUAGGGGGCAAGCGUUGUCCGGAUUUAUUGGGCGUAAAGAGCGUGUAGGCGGCUUUACAGGUCCGUUGUGAAAACUCGAGGCUCAACCUCGAGACGCCGGUGGAAACCGUAAGGCUAGAGUCCGGAGGAGGAGAAUGGAAUUCCCGGUGUAGCGGUGAAAUGCGCAGAUAUCGGGAAGAACACCCGUGGCGAAGGCGGUUCUCUGGGACGGUACUGACGCUGAGACGCGAAAGCGUGGGGAGCGAACAGG